rnacentral:lncRNA from 1 species
UUAGGUAUUGCAUAAAUUAGUUAUACUAAUAGAUUGCUAAAGGAUUAAAAAUACUCUUUGACAAAAUAUUCGGAUUAACAAAUUUUUAAUUAGAAAAUAAUGAAAAAAAGAAAAAGAAAAUAGAAUAACGAUCGAAGUGAUAAAGAACAGGUUGAGUUUUUCAAAGUCUCGUUAAUAAUAACGCAUUGAAGAGGAAAAAAGAAGUAAAAAAAAAAAAGAAGAAGAAGAAGAUAUUUUAUUCUUCACAAAAUUUUUUCAAAAUGUCUGCCGCAUUGUAAACCGUAUCAGCAAGUUUAUAAUUACGCGAGAUGUAAUUUAGUUCGGACGACAAGAAAAGAAAACUUCUUUUGCUUUUCCUUUGGCAUCUGGAAAAAUAACGAAGCGGGGAAAGAAAGAUAUAAGAAAAAAUGUAUUCUAUUCGCGAAUCCGUGCCAAAGGUUGCUUCGCAUUAAUGUGCCAUCGAAAAGUUUAACGAAAAGCUAUAGAAACAUUUUCUCUUGCAACUAACUACCGUCAACACCAUCACCAUCACCAUCACCAUCACCACGUGGAAUUAUUAUUUUAUGUUAAAGCGUGAUUAAAAGUUUGUACAAGAUCUUUGGAUUAUUCAUGCCAACUCGUAACAUGAGUAAGGUAAUAAAGAUCGAAGUAUCUCAAGCUAUCUCGAGGUCGCCGAUGAAAAAUAGAUAAAUAUUUCUAACGUUACCUGCGAUCCUAGCAAAGAUCAUCUUAUGCUAGGAUGCUAGGUAGAUAUACGUGUAGACUCGGGAAAUAUUUCAACGUCCAAAUUUCUACCUAAGAAUAAUGGGAUUUUUGUAAGUGGUAAGUGCUUAUGAUCGGAAAUCAUCCAUCUUGGGAUUUCAAUCAAAUAUGACCGAA